GUAUCUCUUCGGAGUUACAUAUACUAAAAUUGGAACGAUACAGAGAAGAUUGGCAUGGCUUAAGGCGAACAUGGAAAGGAGAUUUGCAUCUGUUA
rnacentral:snRNA from 1 species